rnacentral:rRNA from 1 species
UACGUAGGGGGCAAGCGUUGUCCGGAUUUAUUGGGCGUAAAGAGCGUGUAGGCGGCUAGAUAGGUCCGUUGUGAAAACUCGAGGCUCAACCUCGAGACGUCGAUGGAAACCAUCUGGCUAGAGUCCGGAAGAGGCGAGUGGAAUUCCUGGUGUAGCGGUGAAAUGCGCAGAUAUCAGGAGGAACACCAAUGGCGAAGGCAGCUCGCUGGGACGUGACUGACGCUGAGACGCGAAAGCGUGGGGAGCAAACAGG